rnacentral:rRNA from 1 species
UACGGAGGGGGCCAGCGUUGUUCGGAAUUAUUGGGCGUAAAGGGCGCGUAGGCGGCCCGGCAAGUCAGUUGUGAAAUCCCUCGGCUCAACCGAGGAACUGCGACUGAAACUGCCGGGCUUGGGUCCCGGAGGAGGGUAGCGGAAUUCCCAGUGUAGCGGUGAAAUGCGUAGAUAUUGGGAGGAACACCGGUGGCGAAGGCGGCUACCUGGACGGGUACUGACGCUGAGGCGCGAAAGCGUGGGGAGCAAA